rnacentral:rRNA from 1 species
GCAUAUCAAUAAGCGGAGGAAAAAGAAACCAACAGGGAUUGCCCUAGUAACGGCGAGUGAAGCGGCAACAGCUCAAAUUUGAAAUCUGGCCCUCGGGUCCGAGUUGUAAUUUGUAGAGGAUGCUUUUGGUGCGGUGCCUUCCGAGUUCCCUGGAACGGGACGCCAUAGAGGGUGAGAGCCCCGUCUGGUUGGACACCAAGCCUCUGUAAAGCUCCUUCGACGAGUCGAGUAGUUUGGGAAUGCUGCUCUAAAUGGGAGGUAUAUGUCUUCUAAAGCUAAAUACCGGCCAGAGACCGAUAGCGCACAAGUAGAGUGAUCGAAAGAUGAAAAGCACUUUGAAAAGAGGGUUAAAUAGUACGUGAAAUUGUUGAAAGGGAAGCGCUUGUGACCAGACUUGAGCCCGGUUAAUCAUCCAGCCUUCUGGCUGGUGCACUUGGCCGGCUCAGGCCAGCAUCAGUUCGGCGUGGGGGAUAAAGGUUUCGGGAAUGUGGCUCCUCCGGGAGUGUUAUAGCCCGUUGCGUAAUACCCUGUACUGGACUGAGGUUCGCGCAUCUGCAAGGAUGCUGGCGUAAUGGUCAUCAGCGACCCGUCUUGAAACACGGACCAAGGAGUCGUCUUCGUAUGCGAGUGUUCGGGUGUCAAACCCCUACGCGUAAUGAAAGUGAACGCAGGUGAGAGCUUCGGCGCAUCAUCGACCGAUCCUGAUGUUCUCGGACGGAUUUGAGUAAGAGCAUACGGGGCCGGACCCGAAAGAAGGUGAACUAUGCCUGUAUAGGGUGAAGCCAGAGGAAACUCUGGUGGAGGCUCGCAGCGGUUCUGACGUGCAAAUCGAUCGUCAAAUAUGGGCAUGGGGGGCGAAAGACUAAUCGAACCUUCUAGUAGCUGGGUUUCCGCCGAG